UACGUAGGGACCGAGCGUUGUCCGGAUUCAUUGGGCGUAAAGAGCUCGUAGGCGGCCACUCAAGUCGAAUGUGAAACCUCGAGGCUUAACCUCGAGCCUGCAUUCGAUACUGGGCGGCUAGAGUCUGGUAGGGGGAUCUGGAAUUCCUGGUGUAGCGGUGGAAUGCGCAGAUAUCAGGAGGAACACCGGUGGCGAAGGCGGGAUCCUGGGCCAGUACUGAGGCUGAGGAGCGAAAGCGUGGGGAGCAAACAGG
rnacentral:rRNA from 1 species